rnacentral:rRNA from 1 species
AUUGAACGCUGGCGGCAGGCCUAACACAUGCAAGUCGAGCGAGCGGCGGACGGGUGAGUAAUGCCUGGGAAUCUGCCUGGUAGUGGGGGAUAACGUCCGGAAACGGGCGCUAAUACCGCAUACCAUCAGAUGUGCCCAGAUGGGAUUAGCUAGUAGGUGGGGUAACGGCUCACCUAGGCGACGAUCCCUAGCUGGUCGGAGAGGAUGACCAGCCACACUGGAACUGAGACACGGUCCAGAGUCCUACGGGAGGCAGCAGUGGGGAAUAUUGCACAAUGGGCGCAAGCCGGAUGCAGCCAGGCCGCGUGUGUGAAGAAGGCCUGCGGGUUGUAAAGCACUGUCAGCGGGGAGGCGUUACCCGCAGAAGAAGCACCGGCUAACUCCGUGCCAGCCGCCGCGGUAAUAC